rnacentral:rRNA from 1 species
UACGGGGGGGGGUAAGCGUUGUUCGGAAUUACUGGGCGUAAAGGGCUCGUAGGCGGCCAACUAAGUCAGACGUGAAAUCCCUCGGCUUAACCGGGGAACUGCGUCUGAUACUGGAUGGCUUGAGUGUGGGAGAGGGAUGCGGAAUUCCUGGUGUAGCGGUGAAAUGCGCAGAUAUCAGGAGGAACACCGGUGGCGAAGGCGGCUCUCUGGACCUGUCCUGACGCUCAGGCGCGAAAGCUAGGGGAGCAAACAGG